CAGGAUGAACGCUAGCUACAGGCUUAACACAUGCAAGUCGAGGGGCAGCAUGGUCUUAGCUUGCUAAGGCCGAUGGCGACCGGCGCACGGGUGAGUAACACGUAUCCAACCUGCCGUCUACUCUUGGACAGCCUUCUGAAAGGAAGAUUAAUACAAGAUGGCAUCAUGAGUCCGCAUGUUCACAUGAUUAAAGGUAUUCCGGUAGACGAUGGGGAUGCGUUCCAUUAGAUAGUAGGCGGGGUAACGGCCCACCUAGUCUUCGAUGGAUAGGGGUUCUGAGAGGAAGGUCCCCCACAUUGGAACUGAGACACGGUCCAAACUCCUACGGGAGGCAGCAGUGAGGAAUAUUGGUCAAUGGGCGAGAGCCUGAACCAGCCAAGUAGCGUGAAGGAUGACUGCCCUAUGGGUUGUAAACUUCUUUUAUAAAGGAAUAAAGUCGGGUAUGGAUACCCGUUUGCAUGUACUUUAUGAAUAAGGAUCGGCUAACUCCGUGCCAGCAGCCGCGGUAAUACGGAGGAUCCGAGCGUUAUCCGGAUUUAUUGGGUUUAAAGGGAGCGUAGAUGGAUGUUUAAGUCAGUUGUGAAAGUUUGCGGCUCAACCGUAAAAUUGCAGUUGAUACUGGAUAUCUUGAGUGCAGUUGAGGCAGGCGGAAUUCGUGGUGUAGCGGUGAAAUGCUUAGAUAUCACGAAGAACUCCGAUUGCGAAGGCAGCCUGCUAAGCUGCAACUGACAUUGAGGCUCGAAAGUGUGGGUAUCAAACAGGAUAGAU
rnacentral:rRNA from 2 species